ensembl:lncRNA
GAGGACUCCAGCAUCCUUCAUUUGAAUGAAAGCCUUACAAAUAGUCUAACAUCACCGCCGAUCUCAGCAGUUCUCUCUCUCUCUCUUUCUCUUUCGGUCGUUGCGUUUUGGUGAAACUUUCGCAGCUAUGCCUGAGCCCGCCAAGUCCGCUCCUGCCCCGAAGAAGGGUUCCAAAAAGGCCGUCACCAAGUACACCAGCUCCAAGUAAAAUGGAGAUCUCCGGGGGUGCCUGAAGGCCAGGCCCCUCAACCUACACAACGGCUCUUUUAAGAGCCACCCACUUCUCUCAACGGGAGAGCUGACGCGCCAAACUAAAUGCCUGUUGUCUGCCGCUUCUCUAAAUGCGGGCGGGGGCGGAAGGGGAAGGGAAAGGUGGGAAACUGCCCAACUGCCGGACGCCAGCUCGGGCUGCGGGUCCGGGCUCCUGGGACUUCUUCCUUUUGGUCACCACCUCAGUAGUCGGGCACCCAUGCUUCGGGCUCUCGAGCCAUGGGUGCUUUCUCCAAUUGCACGCCCUUCUCCCGCCCUGGGUGCCACGGAGCAGCCGCACCAAGUCUUAUUUGCUCUUUGCUCUUCACAGAAGAGACCGCGGCUAGCGAACCGUCCACAGAUGGACCGGCUCGCAUUGCUGCCGGCUUAAUAGUCUGACAAGUCGACCUCCCUGCGCUUCCAGUGGAAAUCCAUGUGUGCCCAUGGCUGUGCCGGGGAGAGACUCGGACACCUCGCUCCGUCUCGAUUACGGUAGCAUUUACCUGCGAAAUUCUGCGCUACUACUCCCUUGCUUGGGACUUGGCAACUCGCAACCCAAAUGCAAUCUCUCGGAGCUUCGGGGAGGCUGCAAGAUGCCAGGGCUGCGGAAAGGACAGGCUGGACAAAACCGAAGCUGAUGGUCAGCUCGGGCUACUGCUGUUACUCAGUUCUAUCACAGUCUGCACGGUUUUGUGUUUUUGGGGUUUUUUGGUAUGCGUGAUUACGCAAACGAUUGUUUACUAGGAGCUGGUCCCCUAACCUCCCUCUCCUCCACCCUCCACCCAGCUGGUUGGAGGGGCUGCGGAGUGGGAAAAGAUGCUCUUUUCUGGUUUAAUGGAAAAGGACAUUGAGAGAAUUUUUAAGGCGGCAAAACCAACCCACUGUGCCCUUUUGCACCUUCCUUAUAACCAUUCCACUGGGCCGGUUGGAACAGAGUUCAUCAAGACUCAAAUAUCAGAAACAUUUUCGAGUUGGAAGCUGGGGAUGGAGGCGGAGGGAGAGGGCAAUUGUUUUCAGGGGAUUAUGAUCAGGACAACCUUCCAGUGGCACUUGAGCUAAACUUGAAUAAGGCUACUAAAGAGGGGGAAAGGGCUUAAGACCGUGUAUUCUAGGAUGGCGGAGUCUCAAACAGCAUGACAUUUUGCUUGCAGUGCACUGUACAUGAGGGACACUAGUAUUCCUAGUGGAUAUAUCUAGAAUGAUUGGUUGGAGAUAGAUCUAUUAAGGCCUUUAAAUUAUCAGUAGAAAUCUUGAGGUUCGAUGAUACAGCAGUCACCUUCAGGAGCCAACAUCUUGCUUACCCUAGAGUUGCAACUCCAGAAUAGAAUAUUCAUACUCUUGUCACGCUAGAGCUCCUAGACACCUCUGAGUUCAUCUAAGCCAAUCCUCACCCUUAAGUUACUUGCAUUAGGCCAGAGAGGCAGAAUUUGAAGCAUUAAUCCAGUGAUUGUCCAGUCAAUACCCCAUCACUACCAUCUAAAUUUUGUAACUAGCAGAUGGGACAGUAAAACUAAAUGUCCAGCUAAGUUUCCAUAAAUUCUGUCAUAAUCAGUAAUCAUAUAAUGUAUCACAUAAGUAAUUUCCGUAUGGUAUAUGAAAUCUUGAAGUCAUCUAGUUUGUGUGUGUGUGUGUGUGUGUGUGUGCCCAGCCUUCACACAUGUGGAUGCAUACUUGUGACGGGCUUAACCCUGAAACUAGGUUUGGGGUCUCCGACUCUCCCAUGGGAAAAAGCAUACUUUCCCAGACAAGACCUUCUCAAGUUAAGCUGUGUCAUUCAAUUGGAGAUCUUGGUCAAAUCACCCUCCAUUGAUCUUUUGGGCCUUUAAAUUAUCAGUAGAAAUCUUGAGGUUCGAUGAUAAAGGAUUUCCUGGAUCCUCUUCAGGAAAUUCCAGCCUCGGGGAAAAAAUUUUCAAAAUUAUUUCAUUCAAUUGGAGAUCUUGGUCUGAUAAUCAGCUCAAACUGCACCCCCCAUCCCCCAGACCAAGAUUUAUGCAUAAAACAGGGGUCUGCAAACACACCCUUUGCAAAAUUCCUCAUUAGAAAUUUAUCCAUUAAGACAGCUUCUUAGUGAACAAGAAAAAUCCUUUUUUUGCCACAGAUUUCAGGGUUUGCGGAUUCUUUCACCUUUAGAUCUGCUUCUCUGAGCAGAUCUCCCCCAUUUCCACACUUCAAUAUUAGAAAUGGAGUUUGUGCUUUGUUUUUCUGUAAAACAAUUUCCUAAUUACUCCUCUUUCUGGCUAGAAUUUAUAGGAUCUAUAUAUAUAGACAUUAUAAGGGUCACAUUAUUCCAACAUUUACUAAUAGCUUCUAUGAGAGAGGAGAGCUGACAAGGUGUGGUAAGAUCUAUUCAAGGCAAGCAAUACAUUACCUCCCUCACUACCCAUCCCCACCCCAAUCUGAAAAUGUGUAGUCAUUAGUAAAUGACUCUUUGGCCUAUUUAUCUGUCUGUUACUAGAUGUAUAUGUUUAUAUAGAAUAUGGUCCUUUAAUGCUUCAAAAGGAUGUAAGAAUUUGAUGCAGCUGUUUGUGGAACCCAGCUGUUAUUUUAUUGAUUCUUGAAAUUAAAUCUCAAACAUCUUCAGUGUAAGUUUGGAGAAGAAAAUUUUAGUGUGAAUAGUUUUCUUAGAUGGAUGCAACUUAUGGAAUAUUUUGUGUUAUGUCAAGGGGAAAUUCAACCUUAUUUAAGUUUUUUUCUAAUAUGGCAAUAACAUGUUUGUCCCAUGUGUCCUGUGGCACAAACAUAAUUUCUUAUUUAAAAAACAAACAAAACUAAUUUGUUAUGUACAGGCCAAGCUAUACAAAAUUGACUUGUUGAUGCAGCCACAAUAGAGGCUGUUGGCCUAUCUACUACACUGGCCUUCUUACUCCUCUCUGCCCUUCCCCCUGCCCUACCCCCAAUCAGAGACAUCUUCAAGUACAUAGAGAAAGCAUUUAUUUUGUUCUGGCAAGAAGAGGCCCAGGUACACCUAGGAGCCAUCCCAACCCCUGCCAUGUGCUCCUGGAACAUGGUGAACCUCAACUUUGUCCAGGACUUAGAAGCUAAAGACGCAAGCCUUCUCAAUGGAUAGACUAAAAGGACAUAAACCAUCCUUGACCAAUGUUGUCUGCUUCCUGUGGGUCACAUCACUUCCCUGUGAGCGUGAGUUCUUGAGGAUUUGACCUUUAGAGAUCCCUGUAGAAUGUUUCCAGUACUUCUGUUCUGUGAUUUAAAAUUUGUUAGGGAAAAACAAAGAAAAAAGCUUGACUUUUCUAUAGGUUCAAGCUCUGUUUGGCCAAAGUUGGAACUUCAGGAAAAGUUUGUUUGAGAAUAAUGAUCAGUAAAUUUAGCAAUUGGUCAUUUCAAGAUUCCAAAGCAAUUCAAUUAAAUUGGGGCCUUCAUGGAGUAGGCAUAAAGAUGGUCUUUCCCUUCCGAGUUCCCUGACUGCAGCAGGAACACGUGGGGCUAGAGGGAGAGAAAGAAAUUAUGUUUAAUCACUUCAGUGAAAUUUGUUAUUUGAGAUAUAGUGAAGCAGGUUGGGGUCCCUUUAAGAAAUUGUAUUUGCUAUUGAUCUGUGAUUCCUUUCAGAUUCCCAGCCCCUCCUGGCUGAGGCAUAUCCUCCCCACACAAGCUGUCUUUCCAGGAUUCCAGAGCCUUUGAUUCAAUUACAAAUCCUGGCCAAAAAGCAUCCCUUUGAAUUCCAAUAGGAGAUACAGGCUUGUCCCAGCCCCCAUUCUGACUUGCUUGGGCCGCCCAGCCCCUACUGGUUCUGAUCUGCUCAAGCUGUCCCAACCCCCACCAAGGCACCCAAUAUAAUAGCUUCCAUAAAUGAAGCUAGCUCACUCAAAUGCCAGGACUUUUUGUCCACUGAGAGCUACAUUCUCAGUGCAAAACUCCAUUUCCAUAGCUUUGCCACUAUGGAAGUCAGUCUCUGGGUACAUUGAUUUCUAUCUUACAAUAAACUUUCAUUUGGCAACUAACAUUUGAGAAUGAGUGAAUUCUUUCACUCCUAAAAUCUGCAGCCGAUUUAAAGGGGAUUCUUAAUAACUCUCUUAUAACCACUAACCCCUAGACCACCAGGAAUCUAGACCACUCUAAACCUCAUCAUAUUUAUGAUUCCCUGAUGGACAGGGAAUCCUGAAUAUCUGGACACUAAAAACUAAUUUGGGUUUUGAGCUGUUGGUGCAGUAUUCUUCCAGGAAUACUCUGUUCUCCAACAAAAAGCCUUCUUUUGUCUCACUCUAUCUCUAAAGGUAGUGGGCAACCAGACCUGGUCUGGGCUGUGGGCCGUAUUCUUGGGGGAAGAGAAUCUGCAUUUUCAGGCAAAAAGCCUCCUUUUUGUCACAUCAUUUUUAGAGAUAGUGGGACCAGGAUAUCUGGAACUCUAGGACAAAGUAAAAGAUAUUUUUUUUCUUUCCCUAUUCUGUAGUGGACACCCAAGCCACCCAGGUCAGGCUUGGGUCAUUGUUAGAGCUCUAUGCUGGUGCACAAUUCUUUACAAAUUGCUGUGUGUUAUGAGUCACUUGAAACAAGGUGAUAACUCACUGGAAUUAGUAGAAACAAUACUUGAGUUUAUACCUUUGAGAAUUCACACAUUGGCUCACACAUUGGAGUUCACAAGUAGGGAAGAUACACAAAACUUUGUAACUUUGUGAAUUCACACCUCCCAUAAUCCCACUCUCAGAGAGAAGUCAACCUUUGGGUUCACACCUUUUAGAGAUCAUAUAUAAGAAGCUCUUAGAGCUUCAGUCACUCAGUCAGUCAGUGGAGGAGAUUGAGUUAGAGAUGAAAAGAUUGAGAGGGGAGCGUCAGUUGGAGAUUGAGAAGCCACGAGUCAGAGUUGAGCUAGAGGUAGAUGCUGGAAGAGCUAAAAGACAAGCUGCAAGAGCUCUUGGAACCAAGGAGGGAGAGAGACCUCUAAGAAAGCUAACUGGGCCCAAGGAAAAAGACAAGACUUGGAAGGAGAAAAUAAAUGUUUGGAUUUUAUCAGCUGGCUGCAUUUGAAGUGAUUAUUACUUAGAACUGAAACUAAGGCUGCCUCCAGAAAACCUCCCCAAGAAACCUGCUCCCAGAGAACCAUCAUAUUAUACAAAAGAAAAACACCACAGCUGUGGACUGACAAAAGACCUCCUUUUGUCUCACUAUCUCUAGAGACCUACAUGAGAGAUGCUGCAAGAAUUUGGGGAAACUAAAAUUUUUACUUCUCAGCAAUGUAGAAAAACGUCUGCCUCUGAAAAUCCUUCCUUGAGGAAAGUCCCUCUGUCCAGCUCUUCCAGGGACAAAGGGCCUUCCUUUGCAUCUGAAGCUCUCACCAGAAAGCCCUGCCUUCAGGGAGGAACUCCGAGUCCAGAGACGAAGCAUCUCUUUAGCCCCCACCUCCACCCCCCAAGACCAAGGGAACACAUGGGGCCCUCUCGGGGGUCCCAGGCCAGCACUCUCUUUGAUCUGUCUUGGGGAGA